rnacentral:lncRNA from 1 species
GUAUCUGGGGUCGGCCAGCAAAGUCCACCCACUUUUGGAUCAAGGCCUCCUCAAUGGUUUUGUUAGAGUUCAACACCACCACAUCUAAGGGGAAACCGCAAUGUCAGCAGGGAAGAAGGGCUCACACAAAGACAGAAGACUGGCUUACCUUGUAGCCCCAAGCGGAUCCUGUAGAUGGGCCCAAGUUUCUGAGCCAGGCCAAACAGGUAGACCGGAAGGUUGGGCUGUAGAAAGUGCAGAAACCCCGGGGCCAGAGGCGGGAGGCGGAGUUUCCAGAGCUUCCACUGACCCCACAGCCAGCGGGUGCCAGCUAGCAGCAGCAGCAGCAGCAGCAACAGCAGCCCAGGUAGCAGCAUGGCCCAACGCUUGUGCAGGGCACUGGUAUGGCCUUUUAUAGCCCCAGCUCCAGCCCUCUCUUCUCUUGUGGCUCUGACCCUUAGCUUCAGGUCCCUUCCCACUUGUCCCACACACGGAGCAGUGUGUUUUCAAAUUGGCACAGCCCCAUCGGCCUUGGAAAGUCCAUGGAUCAAAGAUGGGACCAUCCAUCAAGAAGAAGGAAGGGAUGCAAAACCCUGACCUUUCCCUAUCACGAUCCACUUCCUAACUCCAUGUUAGCCAUCAGCCAUGUGAGCCAAGAGGUCCACCCGCGUCGACCCCUCCCGCCGUACCUCACCUUGGACCAGCUGAGUGGAGUGGAUUUGUU